UACGUAGGGUGCAAGCGUUGUCCGGAAUUAUUGGGCGUAAAGAGCUCGUAGGCGGCUUGUCGCGUCGACUGUGAAAACCCGCGGCUCAACUGCGGGCCUGCAGCCGAUACGGGCAGGCUAGAGUUCGGUAGGGGAGUCUGGAAUUCCUGGUGUAGCGGUGAAAUGCGCAGAUAUCAGGAGGAACACCGGUGGCGAAGGCGGGACUCUGGGCCGAUACUGACGCUGAGGAGCGAAAGCGUGGGGAGCGAACAGG
rnacentral:rRNA from 1 species